rnacentral:rRNA from 1 species
UACGGAGGGGGCUAGCGUUGUUCGGAAUUACUGGGCGUAAAGCGCACGUAGGCGGCUUUGUAAGUUAGAGGUGAAAGCCCAGGGCUCAACCCUGGAAUUGCCUUUAAGACUGCAUCGCUUGAAUUGUGGAGAGGUAAGUGGAAUUCCGAGUGUAGAGGUGAAAUUCGUAGAUAUUCGGAAGAACACCAGUGGCGAAGGCGGCCGACUGGUCCGGUUCGUGACGCUGAGGCGCGGAAAGCGUGGGGAGCAAACAGG